rnacentral:misc_RNA from 1 species
GAUGAAGAAUGUAGCGAAAUGCGAUAAGUAAUGCGAAUUGCAGAAUUCCGUGAGUCAUCGAAUCUUUGAACGCACAUUGCGCCCUCUGGUAUUCCGGAGGGCAUGCCUGUCUGAGCGUCAUUGUCAACCCUCAAGCUCAGCUUGCUGUUGGGUCCCCGUCGUUGCUUUAACGGCGGACCCGAAAGGUAAUGGCAGAGUCCGUGAGACCCUAGACGCAGCGAGCUUCUAGCACGCGUCUGGACGUUUUUCGGGCUCGGUCUUAACUAGAUGAUAACUUCCGAUUGACCUCAGAUCAGGUAGGGAUACCCGCUGAACUUAAGCAUAUCAAUAAGCGGAGGA